CGUCUUCAAGCUUCCGCUCACCCCUCGCAAAGCGUAGCGCAUGGAAUCAGAGUCGCUCAUGGAAUCAGGAUUGCGACGAACCAAUUCAUCUCGCCAGAAGCCUGUCUGCACAUGGAAUCAGAGUCGCUCUUAGCUCUAGCUGCACCACAGAUGCUGAGAAGAUUCAAUCUGAGCCACCGAGCCGGAAUGCACCUCAUAUGUCGGUGAAAUCGCCCCAACAGCAAACUUCCAGUAUCACUCCUUCAUUUAUCUUCAAUCGAGGAACUCCCGGAUGAAUGCCUCUUUGAGAUCUUCAGACGGCUUCCCAGCUGUAGAGAAAGGAGCUCCUGUGUCUGUGUUAAGAUCUUCGAGCUGUUGAGCCUUGGUGUGAGGUUUGUACUGGACUUCAAUCCCGUCUUCAGGAAUACAAAUCGGAAAACCAACAGCUCGAGGAACUUCUUACUUCGGAGGUGAAUAUGGAAUCUAUCAUGAGAAAUUGAGAAUUGACUGAGACGAGGAUGAUGCAAGUAAGUUGGCCCUCUUGCUUCUUGCCUUUUCUACUUGGAACCGAAAAGUAUAAUUAGUCAU